rnacentral:rRNA from 2 species
UAAACUGAAGAGUUUGAUCAUGGCUCAGAUUGAACGUUGGCGGCACGCCUAAUACAUGCAAGUCGAACGAGAAAGCACUUCGGUGCGAGUACAGUGGCGGACGGGUGAGUAACGCGUAGGAAUCUACCUAGUAGUGGGGGACAACUCGAGGAAACUCGAGCUAAUACCGCAUACGCUCUAUGGAGGAAAGUGGGGGAUCUUCGGACCUCACGCUAUUAGAGGAGCCUGCGUUAGAUUAGCUAGUUGGUGAGGUAAAGGCUCACCAAGGCUACGAUCUAUAGCUGGUCUGAGAGGACGAUCAGCCACACUGGAACUGAGACACGGUCCAGACUCCUACGGGAGGCAGCAGUAGGGAAUCUUGGGCAAUGGGCGAAAGCCUGACCCAGCGAUGCCGCGUGUGCGAAGAAGGCCUUAGGGUUGUAAAGCACUUUCAGUUGCGAAGAAAAGCUGCGGUUUAAUACACCGCGGUCUUGACGUUAACAACAGAAGAAGUACCGGCUAACUCCGUGCCAGCAGCCGCGGUAAUACGGAGGGUACGAACGUUAAUCGGAAUUACUGGGCGUAAAGCGCGCGUAGGCGGU